rnacentral:rRNA from 1 species
CUUCUAGAAUUAGAAUUGGAAGUCGGGCCUGCCCACUGAAAUGAAAUUUAAAGGGCCGCGGUAUAUUGACCGUGCAAAGGUAGCAUAAUCAUUAGUUUUUUAAUUGAAAACUGGAAUGAAUGGUUUGACGAAAUAAUCGCUGUCUUGGUUUGAAUGAUUGAAAUUUAUUUUUAAGUUAAAAAGCUUAAAUAAAGGUUGGGGACGAGAAGACCCUAUAGAUCUUGACAUAAUAAUUAAAUUUAAGGUGAAGUUUAAAAUGUUGAAUUUAAAAAUUUGUGUUUUGUUGGGGUGACGUGAGAAUAGAUAAACUUCUUUUAAUUAAGACAAAAUUUAUUGGAUAAUUGAUCCUAUAUUAAGGAAAAAAGAUUAAGAUACCUUAGGGAUAACAGCGUAAUUUUAUUGGAGAGUUCUUAUUUAUAAUAAAGAUUGCGACCUCGAUGUUGGAUUAAGAUAAUAAUUAGGUGUAGUAGCUUAACUGAUAAGUCUGUUC